rnacentral:tRNA from 2 species
GCCGGCGUAGCUUAGCGGAAGAGCGGCUGACUUGUAAUCAGCAGGUCGAGGGUUCAAAUCCCUUCGCCGGCU